GACGAACGCUGGCGGCGUGCUUAACACAUGCAAGUCGAACGGAAAGGCCCUGCUUUUGUGGGGUGCUCGAGUGGCGAACGGGUGAGUAACACGUGAGUAACCUGCCCUUGACUUUGGGAUAACUUCAGGAAACUGGGGCUAAUACCGGAUAGGAGCUCCUGCUGCAUGGUGGGGGUUGGAAAGUUUCGGCGGUUGGGGAUGGACUCGCGGCUUAUCAGCUUGUUGGUGGGGUAGUGGCUUACCAAGGCUUUGACGGGUAGCCGGCCUGAGAGGGUGACCGGCCACAUUGGGACUGAGAUACGGCCCAGACGCCUACGGGAGGCAGCAGUGGGGAAUAUUGCACAAUGGGCGGAAGCCUGAGGCAGCAACGCCGCGUGCGGGAUGACGGCCUUCGGGUGGUAAACCGCUUUCGCCUGUGACGAAGCGUGAGUGACGGUAAUGGGUAAAGAAGCACCGGCUAACUACGUG
rnacentral:rRNA from 1 species